rnacentral:rRNA from 7 species
GGGUUGUGAGGUUAAGCGACUAAGCGUACACGGUGGAUGCCCUGGCAGUCAGAGGCGAUGAAGGGCGUGCUAAUCUGCGAUAAGCGCCGGUAAGGUGAUAUGAACCGUUAUAACCGGCGAUACCCGAAUGGGGAAACCCAGUGUGAUUCGUCACACUAUCAUUAACUGAAUCCAUAGGUUAAUGAGGCGAACCGGGGGAACUGAAACAUCUAAGUACCCCGAGGAAAAGAAAUCAACCGAGAUUCCCCCAGUAGCGGCGAGCGAACGGGGAGGAGCCCAGAGCCUGAAUCAGCAUGUGUGUUAGUGGAAGCGUCUGGAAAGGUGCGCGAUACAGGGUGACAGCCCCGUACACAAAAGCGCAUGUGCUGUGAGCUCGAUGAGUAGGGCGGGACACGUGGUAUCCUGUCUGAAUAUGGGGGGACCAUCCUCCAAGGCUAAAUACUCCUGACUGACCGAUAGUGAACCAGUACCGUGAGGGAAAGGCGAAAAGAACCCCGGCGAGGGGAGUGAAAAAGAACCUGAAACCGUGUACGUACAAGCAGUGGGAGC